UACGUAGGGUGCAAGCGUUAAUCGGAAUUACUGGGCGUAAAGCGUGCGCAGGCGGUUUUGUAAGUCUGACGUGAAAUCCCCGGGCUCAACCUGGGAAUUGCGUUGGAGACUGCAAGGCUAGAAUCUGGCAGAGGGGGGUAGAAUUCCACGUGUAGCAGUGAAAUGCGUAGAGAUGUGGAGGAACACCGAUGGCGAAGGCAGCCCCCUGGGUCAAGAUUGACGCUCAUGCACGA
rnacentral:rRNA from 1 species